AGUGGUGAAGUUGGAAUUUUUACCCAAGUCUGUUUGCUAAAUGUAUGCUCUUCAUCAUUACAUCUACAUAGGACCAGCUACAUAACUUGUAGCGCCCAGUGCAAAAUGAAAAUAGAUGAGGGGUCUUGCUAUGUUGCACAGGCUGGUCUUGAACUCUUGGCCUCAAGUGAUCCUCCCACCUUGGCCUCCCAAAGUGCUAGGAUUACAAGUGUGAGCCACCACCCCUGCCCAGGAAUCUGUGUUUUUAAAAGGUCUCCCUGCACAGAAAUGGCUUCCCAUCAUCCUAGUGGGGAUUGGAACAGAGAGUGAGGGGAAAGCAAAGAAAUGACGUGGAAUGAAAAUCUGAGACAGGCCUAAAAGGGGCAGAUUAGGGAAAUGGAGCUGGAGGGGAUUUGAGGGGCUAUAGAAAGGGAUUCUGCUUCUGCAAAUUAUCAACCAUUAGGAAUUCUUCUGCUAGCAAUUCAAAUCCUUUGUGUAAACAGGGUUAAUCUCUAGGCCUGGAAUGAGCACGAAGGGUCCAACAACUCCCUGGAAUUUUAUGUAAAAAACUGCACGUAUGUGUGUCUGUGUACUUUUGGAGGAAAGGAUCUGUUGUAGGUAGAUUUGAUGGUGAUGGCCUGUCUUACAACAAUUCUUAGAGAGGUCAUUCCCCCUUUUGAUGACAAAGCCAGCAAAGAGGUGGGGGCAUAGCUAAGCCAGUCAUCACCAUCCUGAUCACAGUGCUUGACUUGAGGGAUGAGCACCUGACUCAAGCAGGGCCAGUUAGAGUCCUUCCCUGGGACAUCUCCAACUCCACUUGGAGGAAAGAACAUACUUCCCACUUUAGCUGAUGGUGUGAGGAUUCAGCCAUGCCUUUGCCAUGUGGCAAAAGCACAUCUGUAAUGGGAGGGAAGUAAGCUGUCAAUCAGAAAAAAGCAGAGAUGAGAAUGAGAACCAGGGAGAGAGAAUAUAAGAGAUUGCUGACAGCACUCCACUGAUCCGGUUACCCCUUGGACCAGCUCCACCCAUGCCCUUUCGAAAUUUGCAUAUUUGAAUCACUAAACGGACCUUUUUGUCAAAAGCUAAUUCCACUUGGUACCUGUCAC